UGGGAAAUUUCAUAAUUUACCCCGAACCGCAACGUUUUGUGUUUAUCCUCUCUCUCCCAGUCAGUUAAAAUCAAGUUCCAAACUCGGGUCUCCUCCCAAAUCAAGUAAAUCAACGGCUCCGGGGUUCGUGGUGCGAUGCCUGCUAUGAAGAAGCAUACUGACCGCAGUCACAUCGGGAAUGCAUUCAACAAGUUGCUGAAGCAGAUUGCAAGUCCUGUUGAUUUUGAACUUCCAGAUUGGUUUAAUAAGUGGAAACCCAUGAACUACACUUUCAUAAAGCGCAAUAUAUAUCUCACUAAGAAGAUUAAAAGACGACUUGAGGAUGAUGGAAUAUUCUGCUCAUGCAGCCCAUCAGCAACAGGCUCUCCUAGUGUUUGUGGUACAGAUUGUCAUUGUGGGAUGCUACUGUCUAGCUGCUCCUCAGGCUGUAAAUGUGGAAGUUCAUGUCUGAACAAACCAUUCCAACACCGGCCUGUGAAGAAGAUGAAGCUAGUUAAGACUGAAAAAUGUGGUUCUGGAAUCGUGGCUGAUGAAGAUAUCAAGCAAGGAGAAUUUGUGAUAGAAUACGUUGGAGAAGUAAUUGAUGACAAAACAUGUGAGGAAAGGCUUUGGAAUAUGAAACACCGUGGAGAAACAAACUUUUACUUGUGUGAAAUCAAUCGAGAUAUGGUUAUUGAUGCCACGUACAAAGGAAACAAAUCAAGAUAUAUAAACCAUAGCUGUUGUCCCAAUACUGAGAUGCAAAAAUGGAUAAUCGAUGGUGAAACAAGAAUAGGCAUAUUUGCAACUCGCGACAUAAAAAAGGGCAAUCAUCUCACCUAUGACUAUCAGUUUGUUCAAUUUGGUGCAGAUCAAGAUUGCCAUUGCGGUGCUGUUGGUUGUCGCGAAAAACUUGGUGUCCGACCUGCCAAACCAAAGAUGUCAUCAGUUGCUGCUUUGAAACUAGUAGCAUGCCAGGUGGCUGUGUCCUCUUCCAAAGUAAAAACAUUGCUCUCUGCAAAAGAUGUUUAUCCGAAUGGUGGUUUCCCUAUAGGAAGUGUGCAAUCUAUCGGUAAGGACCAUAGCCAAGGUGGUACUACUGCUUAUAAUUGCAUCGAUGAAGUGAUUCGAAUACGUCGUCCCAUAAAUCAGAGGUCAUUUGGGGUUAUCAAACGGUUUGAUAAUCAUUCCAAAAAACAUGCGAUCAUGUUUGAAGAUGGUGGCAUUGAAAUCCUAGACAUGUCGAAAGAAGAAUGGGAAUUUGUAACAUUGUGAUAGCAUUCUGAGGAUUUCGUUCAUGCAAGGUGACUUGUGGUCGUUAGCAAUUGUAACAUGUAGUACAGAUCAGUGACCGGUAAAGCUAGUAAAACAAGAUUUCCCCUCUUCUGCUGUUCCAUUAACAAAUGAUCGAUUCUUUGCAAUGCAUGUUGCAACCCCAAA